UACGUAGGGUGCAAGCGUUACUCGGAAUUACUGGGCGUAAAGCGUGCGCAGGCGGUUGUGCAAGACAGAUGUGAAAGCCCCGGGCUCAACCUGGGAAUUGCAUUUGAGACUGCAUAGCUAGGGUGCGGAAGAGGGAAGCGGAAUUUCCGGUGUAGCGGUGAAAUGCGUAGAUAUCGGAAGGAACACCAGUGGCGAAAGCGGCUUCCUGGUCCAGCACCGACGUUCAGGCACGAAAGCGUGGGGAGCAAACAGG
rnacentral:rRNA from 1 species